UGAUUGAGACGAGUCCAUAUC
rnacentral:miRNA from 1 species